GGCUCAGAGUGAACGCUGGCGGCGUGUCUGAUUCAUGCAAGUCGAAUGCGAAUGGGAGCAAUCCCUAGUAGCAUGGCGAAAGGGCGAGUAAUACAUGGGUAACCUACCCUCGAGAUGGGGAUAACUGCGGGAAACUGCAGCUAAUACCGAAUGACAUGGCGAGUGCUCCUGCACUUGUCAUCAAAGGCGGGGAUCCGCAAGGACCUGUCACUUGAGGACGGGCUCAUGGCCUAUCAGCUAGUUGGUGAGGUAAAGGCUCACCAAGGCGAUGACGGGUAGCCGACCUGAGAGGGUCUCCGGCCGCACUGGGACUGAGAUACUGCCCAGACUCCUACGGGAGGCAGCAGAGGAGGAUCAUUCGCAAUGGGCGAAAGCCUGACGGUGCGACGCCGCGUGAGGGAUGAAGGCCUUCGGGUCGUAAACCUCUGUCAGGAGUUAAGAACGAUAAGGGCGCUAAUAGCGCUCUUGUGUGACAAAGGCUCCAAAGGAAGCGCCGGCUAACUACGUGCCAGCAGCCGCGGUAAUACGUAGGGCGCAAGCGUUACUCGGAAUCACUGGGCAUAAAGGGCGUGUAGGCGGGUGUGUAAGUCCGGUGUGAAAUCCCUCGGCUCAACCGAGGAAGGCCAUUGGAUACUGCGCAUCUUGAGUGCGGGAGGGGAGAGUGGAACUCUUGGUGGAGCGGUGAAAUGCGUAGAUAUCAAGAGGAACGCCGGUGGCGAAAGCAGCUCUCUGGCCCGUAACUGACGCUGAGGCGCGAAAGCUAGGGGAGCAAACGGGAUUAGAUACCCCGGUAGUCCUAGCCCUAAACGAUGGGUACUAAGUAGGGGCGGCUCCGAUGUCGUCUCUGCUGUAGCCAAUGUGCUAAGUACCCCGCCUGGGGAGUACGGUCGCAAGGCUGA
rnacentral:rRNA from 1 species